rnacentral:lncRNA from 1 species
CAUUCGGGGUUGGCUGGUUGUAUGUAUAUGCUUGGUUAACUGAUCGAGGUGGCGUGCGUGCGUGGCUGUUUGCAGGUCUCGGCACCGGGAGGGACGGCUCCGGUGGUGUACGGCGGCGGGAGCAAUGGUGGUGGCGUGCCGUCGACGUGGCAGGUGAGCGGACGCGGCCUCUGUCGCUGCUCCUCCCUUCUUUCAAUCCCUACCUUUUUUUUGUUUUUUUCCCCUUGUUGGCUUGUGAGUUCGAUCUGUGCACCCUUUUUUGACGCUGAUUGCUUCCCGCAGUGCAAGCGGGCGAUGGCCACCGAGGUCACGUUCGUGCUGCCGUCCGCCGCGCCCAAGGCCGCGUCGUCAUCGCCUGGCGGCGCCGCCGGCGACGAGACCGGAGGGUAACUAGGCGCUGCAUGUCUACAUCCCUGCUCUGUUAAUUUCUUUUGGCUAUUAACUGUACUAGUAAUAUCUAUCUAUAAGUAUUGAUGAGGGCCUGCUCUGGGUGAUGCUGCUCCCACGCUUGGGCUCUAAAUUAGAGCUCUUUUAUGGUACCCACUCAACCCAUUAGUCAAGUACAGCGACGCUGGUAGAGUUCCAGCGGCCACUGCCGAGCCUCCUUCUCAAUUAGGUCCGACAACCAUGAUGCGUUGCGGACGUCAAGGUGAUAUCCACCGGCGACGCUUGCUGGCGCGGGCUCGCCACCGUCAUCCACAAGCUCGCUGAUGCCGUC